rnacentral:lncRNA from 1 species
GCGGCGUAUUUGCGUUGCGAUGGCAUCAUUCUUCUCGGAGCCGGAGUGAAAUUGAAGUCGCGUGUUUGCAUUAGUUUUUUGAAUUGCUGUUGGGGCUGGGGCUGCGUGAUCGUCACUGGCGUCCUCCAGAGUGCCCACCGAUCGGAAAGUCGUACGAACCGCAAGCUUUGAACGUCUGUUUAUCGCAACAUCGAAAGCGGCGGCACAGAAGACGCGAUGUGAGCUCCGGUGGGAACAGCAGCCCUUUGUCUCGUAACGGAUGUUGCUAUCUCUACAAUAGCCGGAGAAGACGAAACAAGUUUUGCAAUGCACACGGACUGGCUCAGUUGUGAAUGUCACAAAUGCUCCCCUAACGAGGAUCAAAUCAAUGAAAGGAUGGCCUUGAUAAAUAAUAUUCAUGAGGCGAAGAGGAAGUACCCAUACAUGAUGAGCUUUGAGAGGUGACUUUGCAAGACUGACUAAGAUUGACCCAUCACCUUGUAUUGCAAAAGGGAUCAACAAAAUUGUGAAAAUGGCAGAAAUGAAACACAUCCCUUGCGAAGCAAGUGUAAUGGCAUCACUUCAAAAGGCUCGUGAGAUGUCACCGGAGAGGCUGCGAACACGACGACCCGAGCGUUCCUGCAACCUCUUGCAUCGUAUUUUCUGGAGAAGACGUUGAAGAGGCUGACCUCCACAUCAAGGUGGACCGCGAGAUGUUUGCAGUGAAAAAUGGGGAGGAGGGGCUGGCGGCUGUUUUAUCUGCUUACUGGCUCUUCAAU